AUAUAUUAUGGUAAGUUAUAAUGGCUCCAUCAAGAUAAAACUUCUCAUCAUCUGAGCUUCCACCUUCACAUCGUCUUCAUCCUGUAUUGUAUGUAAAUGUGUCAUUGCUCAUGAAUACUUAUUUUCAGGAGGAACUGUGGAUUGGAAUGAUGCUGAACUAACCCCAGGGAGAAAUACUAUAAUUGGUCCUAAAAACCUUGCCGUUUG